UCCACAUUGCUAGUGAAACUACAUGAACUCGUAAACUCUAGAACCAAAUAUACCCUAAGCUCUUGAAGAUUAUUAAGAUAUAUGUUGACAGUAAUUGGAUAUUUCGUUUCAAACAACACCUUUGCUCUAUCAGUCAGUUUACAAACAAAUUCAACUUUCUUCCAUUCAUCACAAGAUGGAAUAUCAUAAAAAUAUAUCACUAACCUUAUCUGAAGAAUAUUCCCCCAUGGACUAUUGCUCUAGAGCCAUUUUUAGCUUGUAGGUUGUGAGACACCAAAGAGGCGGAGAUUUCCAAUAACACAGUAGACUAACUUUGGUAAUUAUGUCAGAAAUCUCCUUAAAAGCAUCAUUUGCCAUCUGAUUGAACAUCGCAGCACAACAAUUUAUUUAUACGAAACAGCUGACCAUUAAGUUGAAGAUUCUUGACUGUUUGAAUUUGACUUUUAACUAUCUCAACACGCUCAUAUAUCCUCAUCAAGACUUGAUGAUGUGAAAGUGGAUACUUUCUCCUCAAUCUCCCAAUCUUUUAGAGUCUUUAAAAUGGCUUCGAUCGGAAAUGAAAUCAUCUUCCCAGUCCCAUAAAUGCUGGAAAUUAAAUGAAGCACCCACUUACUUUCUUGGUUUCCAACUAUCAUCAAUAAAAUGUGCCGAUAGGCACAUAAAUUCGUCGUAAUUACCACUGCGUCUGUAGUAUCUCAAUACAUCAACCGAAAGGCUGACCUGUCCAUCCAUAUUUCUGAAGAUAUUCUUGACCUUGACUUUCUCUUCCUCAUAAAUUUUCAAGCAAUUGGCUUUGACAGUAUCAUAAUCUAAUUUAACAAAUGGAUUUAACUGAUUUGAAAAUUCCAGCAUAUAUAUAUAGCCAAUUAAUGGUGCCACGUCGCAAGAACAUAUCAAAUCUGCAAGAAGUCUGUGAGCUUUCUGGCAGUCAAUACCAGCAUGCUCAUCACCAUUCUCAGAUCCGGAAUCUGAAAUGAAAUCCCAUUCACAUUACUUGCUAGGUUUUUUAAAAUAGGAGAAUCGAAAUAUGCAAAACAAUGCUUGUUGUUAGGGUUUCAAUGCUUGUUUUUGU
rnacentral:lncRNA from 1 species